AGAGUUUGAUCCUGGCUCAGAUUGAACGCUGGCGGCAUGCCUUACACAUGCAAGUCGAACGGCAGCGGACCUUCGGGUGCCGGCGAGUGGCGAACGGGUGAGCAAUGUAUCGGAACGUACCUUUCAGUGGGGGAUAACGUAGCGAAAGUUACGCUAAUACCGCAUAUUCUGUGCGCAGGAAAGCAGGGGAUCGCAAGACCUUGCGCUGAUUGAGCGGCCGAUAUCAGAUUAGCUAGUUGGUGAGGUAAAGGCUCACCAAGGCGACGAUCUGUAGCGGGUCUGAGAGGAUGAUCCGCCACACUGGAACUGAGACACGGUCCAGACUCCUACGGGAGGCAGCAGUGGGGAAUUUUGGACAAUGGGGGCAACCCUGAUCCAGCCAUGCCGCGUGAGUGAAGAAGGCCUUCGGGUUGUAAAGCUCUUUCGGCCGGGAAGAAAUCGCAUGGGUUAAUACCCUGUGCGGAUGACGUACCGGCAUA
rnacentral:rRNA from 1 species